AGUGAACGCUGGCGGUAGGCCUAACACAUGCAAGUCGAACGGCAGCACAGUAAGAGCUUGCUCUUACGGGUGGCGAGUGGCGGACGGGGGAGGAAUACAUCGGAAUCUACUUUUUCGUGGGGGAUAACGUAGGGAAACUUACGCUAAUACCGCAUACGACCUACGGGUGAAAGCAGGGGAUCUUCGGACCUUGCGCGACUGAAUGAGCCGAUGUCGGAUUAGCUAGUUGGCGGGGUAAAGGCCCACCAAGGCGACGAUCCGUAGCUGGUCUGAGAGGAUGAUCAGCGACACUGGAACUGAGACACGGUCCAGACGCCUACGGGAGGCAGCAGUGGGGAAUAUUGGACAAUGGGCGCAAGCCUGAUCCAGCCAUACCGCGUGGGUGAAGAAGGCCUUCGGGUUGUAAAGCCCUUUUGUUGGGAAAGAAAAGCAGCAGGUUAAUACCCCGCUGUUCUGACGGUACCCAAAGAAUAAGCACCGGCUAACUUCGUG
rnacentral:rRNA from 1 species